rnacentral:rRNA from 1 species
UUGGAGGGCAAGUCUGGUGCCAGCAGCCGCGGUAAUUCCAGCUCCAAUAGCGUAUAUCAAAGUUGUUGCAGUUAAAAAGCUCGUAGUUGAAUUUCGGGGUCAGUAGGUUGGUCAUGCCACUGGUAUGUACUGGUCUCACUGAUUCCUCCUUCCUGAUGAACUGUAAUGCCAUUUAUUUGGUGUUGCAGGGAAUCUGGACUGUUACUUUGAAAAAAUUAGAGUGUUUAAAGCAGGCUAACGCCUGAAUACAUUAGCAUGGAAUAAUGAAAUAGGACGUUCGAUCCUAUUUUGUUGGUUUCUAGGAUUGACGUAAUGAUUAAUAGGGAUAGUUGGGGGCAUUAGUAUUCAAUUGUCAGAGGUGUAAUUCUUGGAUUUAUUGAAGACUAACUACUGCGAAAGCAUUUGCCAAGGAUGUUUUCAUUAAUCAAGAACGAAAGUUAGGGGAUCGAAGACGAUCAGAUACCGUCGUAGUCUUAACCAUAAACUAUGCCGACUAGGGAUCGGAUGAUGUUAAUUUUUUAAUGACUCAUUCGGCGCCUUACGGGAAAC